rnacentral:rRNA from 1 species
AUUGAACGCUGGCGGCAGGCCUAACACAUGCAAGUCGAACGAGUGGCGGACGGGGGAGUAAUGUCUGGGAAACUGCAUGAUGGAGGGGGAUAACUACUGGAAACGGUAGCUAAUACCGCAUACCAUCAGAUGUGCCCAGAUGGGAUUAGCUAGUUGGUGGGGUAACGGCUCACCAAGGCAACGAUCCUUAGCUGGUCUGAGAGGAUGACCAUCCCAACUGGAACUGAGACAAGGUCCAGACUCCUACGGGAGGCAGCAGUGGGAAAUAUUGCACAAUGGGCGCAAGCCUGAUGUAGCCAUGCCGGAUGUAUGAAGAAGGCCUUCGGGUUGUAAAGUACUUUCAGCAGGGAGGCGUUACCCGCAGAAGAAGCACCGGCUAACUCCGUGCCAGCAGCCGCGGUAAUAC